rnacentral:lncRNA from 1 species
CGCGCCGGUGACACUUCACCAGAAUGUGGGGAAUUUCGUUACGGACCCAAUUCCAUCAUUGGUUUUUCCACAUGAGGCCCAGACAGUGCUCAAUCAGGGCCGAAAGACCUAUGCUACUGCAGUUUCUGGCCGUCCGGGCCUGUCUCAAGCUGAACGGAGUUCACGAAAGUCGUUUGCAUCGGUUAUACAGGGUAUAGAUGACUCUUCCACUGCUGGGUUUGGUGCUAAAGAACCCUUUAUACAUAUGGGUGAGCCGGCAAUAGUUUUGACUGAGUCCGAGGAGGCUACACUCGCUGAUCCUUACAAGUAUACACUUGUGGGGAAAUUUCC